CGGGACGGGUGAGUAAUGUCUGGGAAACUGCCUGAUGGAGGGGGAUAACUACUGGAAACGGUAGCUAAUACCGCAUAGCGUCGCAAGACCAAAGAGGGGGACCGUUCGGGCCUCUUGCCAUCGGAUGUGCCCAGGUGGGAUUAGCUAGUAGGUGGGGUAACGGCUCACCUAGGCGACGAUCCCUAGCUGGUCUGAGAGGAUGACCAGCCACACUGGAACUGAGACACGGUCCAG
rnacentral:rRNA from 1 species